AGCGACUGCGGGGUAAGCCAGAUGCCCGACUGCGCGCCGCUGCCUGUGGACACCGACUGAAUGCCGAAACACCAGAGAUCUACCCAAACAAAGCCUCAACCUCUCUCAGCAGGAAGUGACGGGAACUAAAACGGAGGAAGAAAUGAUUCACGUGUGGUGCGUUUUCCACCUUUUUCUCCGGCUGCGAAGGAAGAGCUUGUGUGGACUUGGAGUAUAACGGGCAUCCUCAGUAAGAACAGCGCGCUCUGCCAGUGCUGCCGCGGUGCUGCGAGCGCGUCUUCUCUUGGAUAUACAGCUCAACCCCGAAUGCGCAAAACCGAGGAUAACAUAUGACAAGGAUUAAUCUUCUUUGAACAAACCUUGGAGGAGAACAGCAUCCGUUUUCUUCGCCCCCUCUAAACGUGAUCAAUGGCUACUUUUGUGCGGUCAGCCACCACUUAAUUUUUGCGCCCGCUUUAUCGAAUUCUAUCCAUAUAUUUUUUUUUUCAAUUUUCUGGAGGAGCCUGCUUCUCAGGCGCAUGAAGAGAUAAACCAUCGGGAUUCGCUGGUGUGAAGAAGCUCGUGAAUAGUGGCGAGGAUGAAUGAAUGAUAGUCUGCCUCACACCUCAGACGUGCCAUGGAUGGGAAACUUAAUUUGUAUCCUGGGAACAGAGCUGGGGAUAGUCGCCGUGUCAAAUAACCACUACUGACAGCGAUCAGGACGAAUGUCAUAGGAUGAACACUGCUGCUGGGGUGUGUCUGUCUGUGCUGUCCUCUCUCCUUGCUGUUGCCAAGGCCAGGGCUGCCGUGCCGGCCCUUGUACUAGCCACCCUAUCGGCUUUGGCUGAGGCAGCAAACAGGGCUGCUGAUGGCAUCCCCACCCCGGUGGAAGAGGUUUUACCCUCGCCCAUAUCCUCGCCCUGUUCAAUCUUGGUAGCCGGCGUGCUCUAUGGCUCGUUCUCCUUAAGAGAGCUGUUUCCCUCCAGGGCACCGGGCUGCUCCUGGUCCCUGGAAAAUCCAGACCCGACCAAAUACUCCCUGUACCUGCGCUUCACCAGAAAUCCGACAAUCUGCCGGACUCACGCCCCCAUGCUGUUAUCCCUGGAUCACCACCUGGCCAAUCAAAGUUGCCCCCUUCACUUGCCGUCAACUCAAGCAAGAGAUCAAGAGGUCAUCAAUCUCUGUGAAAACCAAUCCAACGCAAAUGGACCACACUCUUUCCUGCAGUUCGAUAAGAACUUUGUCCAAGUGUGUCUGACGCAGUAUCCGGCUGCGACCGAACCUCAGCUGACCAAGGAGUUACUCGAGAUUCGACUGGUGGAGGUGCUUCUAAUUAACAAUGAGAACUCCAGUCAGUUUACCUGCGGCGUUCUCUGCCGGUGGUUUGAAGAGUGCCUGCGGACGGCCGACCACCGGGACGCGGAUGUUUCCAACAGCGACGGCUGUGGGAUGACUCAAACAGGAUGUAUCUGCCCGAAUCACAACAUCAUGGCAGCUCCUGUCCCGCUGAUUCCUGAGACACCCCACAGUUUCAGCAACGGAUCCAUGUUUCCCGAUGACUGCUGUGUCACCGAGCUUCACUCCAACGAUGCGAUCGCCAUAGCUCCCAGAGACGUCAGACAAGAUCCUUAUGAUGAUGAUGAUCUGAAGGUGAAGACACAAAGACCGCGAUCAGCUGACCAGCCAGGUGUUUUUCAGGCUCAAACAGGCGACCCUGCAGCAGAAGAGUGGUCACAGUGGAGUGUUUGUUCCCUCACGUGUGGGCAAGGCUGGCAAGUGAGAACGCGAUCAUGUGUUUCAUCCCCCUAUGGGACGCUGUGCAGCGGUGCUCUGCGAGAAACGCGCAUGUGCAACAACACGGCGUCAUGUCCAGGAGAGCCAGGGAUCAUUAGUUCAGUGCAUGGGAUUUGGGAGGAGUGGUCAUCAUGGAGUCUGUGUUCCGUGACUUGUGGGCGGGGCUCCAGGACCAGAACCAGGAAGUGUAUGAAAGGAAGCGAGGCCGUGGCAUGUGGACGGCCCGAGACGCAGACCAAACUCUGCAACAUAGCAGUCUGUCCUGUGGAGGGCCAGUGGUCAGAGUGGGGUCCGUGGGCAAGAUGCAGUGUCACGUGCAGCACAGGCAGCCAGCAGAGGCAGCGGCGGUGCGGGGCGUCGGUACACGGCUGGGCAGAAUGCAAAGGUUCCCAUCAGGAGAGUAGAGAGUGCACCAACCCCUCGUGCAGCGGUGGAGGUAACUGGGGCAGUUGGAGCCACUGGAGUCCCUGCAGCAAAACCUGCGACUCUGGCUGGCGGCAACGUUUCAGGUUGUGUGAGGGCACCGAGUUACAAAAAUAUCCCUGCGACGGCUCGGGAGAGGAGAUCCGCGCCUGUAAUGAGAAGAAGUGCCCCGCUCCGCAUGAGAUUUGUCGAGAGGAGAAUCUUCUCUCCAUGACGUGGCAGAGAGCUUCAGCUGGAGAGACUGUAUACAACAAGUGUCCAACUAAUGCUACUGGAACUGCUAGUCGUCGUUGCAUGCUGGACAAUAAUGGAGUUGCUUUCUGGGGUCCUCCGAGCUUCGCCAGAUGCAUCUCUCUUGAAUAUAGAUAUUUACAUUUAUCUUUACGAGAGCAUCUCGCGAAGGGUCAGAGGACCCUGGCUGGGGAGGGGAUGUCUCAGAUCGUACGGAGUCUCCUGGAGCUUUUGCAGAGAAGAAGCUACUUUAGUGGCGAUCUUCUCUUUUCCACGGAGAUCCUGCGAAAUGUGACGGACACCUUCAAAAGAGCAACCUACAUCCCAGCUCCCGACGAUGUGCAGAAAUUCUUCCAGAUAGUCAGUUUCAUGUUGGACAUGGAGAACCUUGAGAAAUGGGAGGACGCACACCAGGCUUCUCCUGGUGCUGCACUCUUGAUGAGGAUCCUCGAAGACUUCAUUCAUCUCAUCGGCGAAGCCCAAAAGCCCUUCCAGAGUUUUUUAGUUGUAACCAAUAACCUCAUGAUCACCAUUCAGCGUGAGCCAGUUUCAGCCGUUUCCAGUGACAUCAACUUUCCCAUGAAGGGCCGUAGAGGAAUGAAAGACUGGGCCAGGACAGCAGAGGACAAGCUGUACAUCCCCAAAGAGGUGUUCAUCAUCCCCAGUGAAGAAAUGGACAGCGAUUCUGAAUCCACAAUGUAUUACGUCAUUGGCGCCAUCUUGUACAGAACCCUUGGUGUCAUCCUGCCUGCGCCCACUCCACCCACAAUAAUUAAUUCAAAGAUCUUAGCCGUGACAGUUCGACCGGAACCUCAACCCAGUGAGCCAAAAGUUGUUGUGGAACUUUCAACAAUUUUCAAUGGUACAACCGAUCUUCAGUGUGUUGUGUGGGACUAUGGCAACUCGGAAGCAGGUGCAGAAAAUUGGAGUACAGAGGGCUGCCAAACACUCACAACCACCUCUGUCCAUACCAAAUGCCGAUGCAGCAGGAUAUCCACCUACGCCGUGUUAGCGCAGCAAGCUAAAGACCCGGACAUGGGUCCCACAAGUAUGCCUUCGGUGCCACUUAUGGUGGGCUGUGGUGUCUCCUGCUCAGCCUUGUUUAUCAUGCUUCUCAUAUAUAUUGCCUUCUGGAGGUACAUCCGCUCAGAAAGAUCGAUUAUUUUGGUUAAUUUUUGCCUCUCCAUUCUGGCCUCUAAUUUACUGAUCUUGGUGGGACAAUCUCAAACGCUGAACAAGGGCCUAUGCACUGUGAUUGCUGCCUUCCUGCAUUUCUUCUUCUUGGCGUCCUUCUGCUGGGUGCUGACAGAGGCAUGGCAGUCCUACCUGGCAGUCAUUGGCAAAAUGAGGUCACGACUCAUUCGCAAGCGUUUUCUGUGCCUGGGCUGGGGUCUUCCAGCUCUAGUGGUAGCAGUAUCCGUCGGUUUCACCAGGGCUCGAGGUUACGGAACAGCGAGCUACUGCUGGUUGUCCUUAGAGGGCGGUUUGCUUUAUGCCUUUGUUGGACCGGCUGCAGUCAUUGUCUUGGUGAAUAUGCUCAUCGGGAUUGUUGUGUUUAACAAGCUCAUGUCUCGAGAGGGCAUAUCAGACAAGUCUAAAAAGCAGCGAGCGGGUGUCCCACCGGAGGCGCGUAGCCGACUGCUCCUGAAAUGCUCCAAGUGCGGCGUGAUCUCGAGUACUGCUAUGUCCAGCUCGACCGCCAGCAGCGCCAUGGCCUCCCUGUGGAGUUCCUGUGUGGUUCUUCCACUGUUAGCGCUCACCUGGAUGUCAGCUGUGCUCGCCAUAACUGAUCGCCGCUCCACAUUGUUCCAGGUCCUAUUUGCUGUUUUCGACUCAGUCCAGGGUUUUGUCAUCAUCACCGUUCACUGUGCCAUGCGCCGAGAGGUACAGGACGCCGUGCGCUGCCGGAUGGGCGGAUGUAAAGAUGACAGCGAAAAUUCUCCGGACUCCUGCAAAAAUGGCCAGGUGCAGAUCAUGAGGGGUCCAAAUGUAAGCUACUGUGGGCAGCAGUGUGGCCCGAUGCAUUAUGGCACGUCCCCGUGCGUGCCAGGUUAUCACCCUCAGUCCUUCCCACCAUGCCAGCAAGCCUGUUACUUCAGUCUUUCCCGCAACAUCCCCGGCGGGCUCAACCACAGCCACUCCAUCAACCACGUUCAUGAGCAUAACUCCAUCCUGAACAAUACCCACAAUCAUAACCAGAACCAUGUCACCGGACAACCAACUGAUUUUGAGAAGGAUGUGGACUUGGCAUGUCAAACAGAGAGAGGACACCCAUUCAUCUUCAAAGAGGUGAACACCUGUAAUCCAGCUACCAUCACAGGUACUCUGUCCCGCAUUUCCUUAGAUGAUGAAGAUGACCCAAAACUGGCGGCCCAUCAAGAGGGAGGUGUCAAUUUUACCUCCCUCCCUGGGAAUAUACCCCCUCCCAACCUCAUCGUACAGGUUCCACCUCUUGGGGGUCUCAAUGAGCUGAGUGAAACACCACUAAAGAAAGAGGUAAAUGUGGAUCAGCAGAGGCAGCAAGGCCAGCAGCGCAACACAGCUCCCAUUUAUCUGUGCACUGAAAGCGGAAUGGGCUGGGCUCGGCCUCCUGCUUCCUCCAACACGUCCCAGGAUGGAAGUGCUGGUAGUGGAGGAAGUGGAGGGGGUGGCGGAAGCGUAGGAGAAGGGGACUACAUGGUCUUGCCUCGAAGGACGGUCAGUCUCAAGCCUUCAGUGUCCUCCUCCCAAGGAGGAGGCCUGGGACUCGGGGGCGAGGAGAAGCCCCUCAACAUUGCAGUAGAAGAUCCUCCCUUUCCACCACCGCCCUCACCCUUGACCCUUCAUCCUGCUGAAAGCGAGGCCUACCCAGCUGAUUUUGUGCCGUCCAGUGUGGGCGACAUGAACAUCAACAUGAACCUCAACCGGUCCUACGGGACAAUCAAGACACUGUCUCAUGGUCACAGCCACAUAGGUGGCCACGUGCACUCUCACGGAGGACACUUGCACUCACAUGGGCAUUCACUCCAGCUGAAGCCGGGCCAAAGGCCAUCGGUCAGACAGAUUCUGACGGGCGGACCUGGCGUCGAGAGGACCAGGACCUUACCACGCAAUUUGGGCAGCACCAAUGCCAACACCAACCUCUCGGCAGGAUCCCUGGAGAGGAAAAGAGUACGGUACUCUGAGCUGGACUUUGAGAAAGUGAUGCACACUCGCAAAAGACAUUCUGAGCUAUACCAUGAGCUCAACCACUCGUCCAAGUUCCACACCAUAGACAGGUAUAGCAGGGACCCAGCCAUGUCCUCACUCAAGAUCCCCCCUCCCCCACCACCGAGGCAAAACACAGAGCCUUCGCUAGUGCGCAGACCAUCACUGGUUUACAAAGAAAGUCAACGUAAGACACCAUAAAGCCUGCAUAAACCUUGCUUUCUAAGUAGAGCCGUGACUGUAUCAUAGGUCCUGGAGGUAACCACUUCAUAGUGUCCUUUGACUCUCUGUUUGCAACUGUGCUGCAUACGUCACAACUGAAUGUAUGACUGCCAAACCUUUCCUCUGUUGAUGAUCAUGUGCACUGCAGCGGUGGAGGCGCCGUGAACAAAAGGAUGUGCUGAGCAUUUGAGAACAUGACUGUGGACCAUAGGUUGAGCGUAUGAGGUUCCAUGAAAGCUCCUUUUCAGAGGAAUUUCCAAACAAUUGAGUACAAAUGAAUUUGUGCCACUAAAUUUAAGAGGAAAAAAUAUUUUUGAACCUGCGUACAGGUAAAGCGCCGCAUUCCACACCGCAGAAAGGUCAGUGAUUUGAGUUUACCGGCUUAAAAAUUUGCUGCGAUAUGUAACAUCACCUCUGAAGAAAUGGGCUCGAGCUUCAAGAGUGAUGAACGUUGAAAACGAUAUAAUAGAUAUAUAAUAUAAUUAGACUCAUCGAAGAGCGGUUCAGUCAAGUAAGUUCAUGGUGCUUUCUACCACAUGCAUAACAUUUAUUUCCACAAAAUACAAUGUUUGUCAUCGGAUCCUUUGCGAAGUUCUUCUCCGCAGUCAGCGGAACAACGUGUCGUGAUUGGCUGACAUAUACGUAGCUUUGUUUUCUUUGAUGUCACAUAAUUCUAACAGACUCCACAGUAGGCACUUAUUCAUAUCCAGAUACAUUUUUAUUCAUUUGCCAGGGGGAAACAUGCAUCUGUGAAGGAGUUUUCACCCCUACCAAAUCCGUCCUAUCACUUCUGUGUUAGCUGAAAGAUGCAACGUGAUUGGUUGACAUGCACAAGGCAUUGUUAUUUUAUAUCGCACAAAAAUCACAAUAAACUCUAUAGAAGGCACGUAUACACCUGCAGUUAUAUUUUUCAUUAAUUUUCCAGGGGGAAAUAAAUAAAAACACUCCGUACGUGUCAGUCAAUCACGACGCGUGCUUCACCUAGCGCAGAAGUGGUAGGACGGAUUUGGUAGGGGUGAAACCUCCUUCCUGGCAAAUGAAUAAAAAUGUAUCUGGAUGUGUAUAAGUGCCUACUGUGGAGUCUAUUAUGAUCUCUUGUGCGAUAUCAAAGACAGCUCCGUACAUGCCAAUCAUUAGAAGAACAGACAUAAACUUGCAAACUAUCUGAUGACAAACAUCGUAAUUUGUCGAAAUAAAUGUUAUGUAUGUGGUAGAAAGCACCAUGACAUCCUUUAUUUCAAUUUCCUCUGGCUCAUUAAAACAUAAAAAAAAACAGAGAAUAUGCAGGAUGUGACGUCAUCAUCCCACGGCAGGUAGGACACAUUUGGUAAGCGGACACAUUUGGUUCCUAAACCGGCGCUGGCAACACCAGAGCAGCAGUGGCAAGUGCCAGGAAUCCAUACGAGCGGAAACACGGGUGUUAGUUAAAUAGAGUUAGUAGUUAGUUAAAUGUAAUUCUAUUGGUCUGAUGUGAGGAAACUCAGUAUUUUGGUGUCCUGGCGUCCGUAAAAAUCCAUAUUAAUCAUACUUUUUUUUUGUUUUUUUUGUUUAUUUUUUUGUUUUUCCAACCCGUAGGGUUCAGAGCAUGUAAAAAAAAUAGUAGCGCAUAUAAAUAAAAUCCAACUCUCUAUGGAAAAGUGGUUAAAUACAGUAUUCUUUCAGCUUGCUACCUGCUAUUAUGCUGUCUGCAAAGACAAUGCCGUUUAGUUGGAAAGCAAAUACAUUCCGUUUCACAAUUCCACUGAGGGGAAAUGUAUAAUUUACCCUGGGCGUAUUCCGAAUACUGCAGUGUGCAUUAGUCAGGAGAGGAAAAUGACUUAACUGCCAUCAUUAGCUUGAUGAAUUACUGUCCGAAAUCCUUCAAUUGAAACCCUUGAAAAUACGGCAGCACAGUUUCAAACGUCAAGACGUACUCUUGUAGCAGCUCAUCUAGUAAAUCUGUCGAUACCGUCUUCAUGGUGAAGUGACUGUGUUUGAUGAGCCCAAACACUAGAACCCCCCUCGUGAAGUGGUGGUGAAUCACAGUGCUCGUGUUUCUGCAUUCACAGUUUGAAUGCUGCCUCUCUCCAAUAACCAACGGAUACUCAUCCCGACGUCUGUGUAAUUUGUGUUUGUUCACUUUCAUGUCAGACAAUGCCUUAAACCACAAAUGCAGAAAUUGAGGCCAUGGCAUUCUGUGACUAUCCCCCUUUUUCUCUUGCCGACGUUGUGUUGAACUGCUCCAUAAAUAUUUAUAAACAGAUUCCUAAUCACCUCAUAAACUGUCAUAAUCAGGUCAUAAAGUAGCGCAUUGUCACUAAAGAGGCACGUACACAAUGCUCUUUAUGUGUGUGCACUGAUGAAAGACAUUGAAAUGUCAGGCUCUUGGGGAUCUGAUACGCGCCUCCGCAAAGGUAGGAUUUCCAACAGGCUGUGUUGAAUUGAAGAACUGAGUUGAUACCAGAUCAUGCCGCAUGUUGAUGUCGCUGUUUGAACUUGGAUGUAUGGAUGGAUCGAUGAAUGGAUGGAUGGAUAGAUAGAUAGAUGGAGAGAUAAAUGUAGGACUUAAACUGAAUUAGAAUGGCAAAAGCAUCAUUCUGAUAUGCGGCAGAUGCCAACGAAAAACAUGAAUUUUAAAUAAUGCUAAGUAGAGUGCUUCCUCUAGUGUUGGAAAAAAAAAAAACAACACCCUCCAAGUUUUAGAAACAAAACACAUCAUUACACUGAAGUGGACGUGGGCUUCUCUUAUAAUGUCCAUAAAAAAGUAGCAGCAGAAAUUACAGCCUCUUUGCCAAAAACAGUGAGGCUCUUGAGUUCAUAAUGUAAGUCAAGAGUCCAUACCGUUUCCUAACAUUCACGAUAGUUGGAGGAUAUUUGCCUGAGGCAAACAAAUAUCUGAUUUUAUUUACAAAAGGUUAAGAAUGUGGGUAUAAUCUAGGCCGCGACCAUUCAGUCCUACAGACUUUGAAGAUAUUACCGAUGCAGACCAGUGUUGAAUUGUUGAGUCCCUCUGUGGGAUGCAUUGUAUUGGUGUUCGCACGGAUAUUGAGGCAGUUUAUGCUGAGUAAUGGAAUGCACUUAAGCACUCAAUGGGAAUAUAUUUCUGCCGCAUUGUUUGCCGUAGAUUGAAAACUUGGACUGUGGCAUUCUGAGAGGCAUGUGGAAAUAAAAGUGUGUACCAGCCGACUAAGCUCCUGUUACACGUCUGCUGCAUGCAUUUGGGAUUAUAAAUCCUGCUUCUACCUUUCUUCAGAUAACGAAUACACCAUAUGUAUAAAGAAAUUGGAACCACAAAGAACCGAUUCCUGUUCAAUUGUUGAACGCCGACAAGCCUCCAAGUCCUAUCGUCAAUUUGCCAGUGUUAAGCGAAGGGGCCUCACUUUCUCACGUCAGUAAUAAAACAAGUCCUCCCAUCUUAUUUUCUUCGAGAUCUCACUCAGCCCUUUAUUUGGUCCUCACCGCUUGACAUUCUCUAUAUUGCCGCCAUCCGCCUUUUCCAAUUUACCCCCUGAAACUCAGCCCUUGCGGCUCAUUUGAGGCAUUAAUUGAAUAAUGAAUUCCUCUUAUUUGCUUGUUUUUUAAUUAUUUCGUUGCCUCCUUCUUUAUGCCGAGCACAUCCGCCGACUGUUUUCAUCCCACCGCACAAAUUGCCCAUGAAAAGUGAAGGCUGGCGGAGUGUAGCUUGAACACAUUGGGUCUAUCAGUGGCAGCUAAUGAGGGGACGGUCAGCCCAAGCGGAACAAGCCCAACGCUGGCUUUGUGCACCAAGAGGCGCUAUACUAAUUUAGUUCAUUCCGUGUCCUUGGGCCAAUUAAAUGGAGGUGAACGGAGCCAAAACACUUGCAGUGGCUGAAUUCAUUGGCCUUGAAUUGCGUUGUACUGCUUUAUACAGACUGAGGCAGAAAUGAACCAACCCCGUGUGUCUGACUGCUCAUUUGUAUACGGUGUGUUGUGAUAAUGAAAUGUAUUUUGCCACACAUUCUACCAACGUUGCUCCUUUUGAAAAGAGGGCCGACCAUUUCUUCUGACCAAAAUUAUUUUAAUAAUUCAAAAUUCAAAUUGGCUGUCACAUCAAAUGUCAUUUUCUGGUAUCAACUCAAGGAUGUCCCUGUAUUUUUGGCUUUAUUUUCUCCAUCACUUUGUUGUUUUUGUUGUCUUGUUUCAUUGCGUCAAACAUGCUCAUUGAUUUCUGUUCUGCGUUCAUUGCGUGUGUUUUGUUUUUCUCUAUGUUGCAUGACUCUUGUCGACCCAGUUUGAAAGUAACCAGACAUUCAACCGGGUCAUGGGCUUCCAAGUCAACGCAGGAAAAGUCAAACCAAGAGGAUCCGAGCUCCUGGGACAGCUUCAAGACCAUGACCCCUGAGCUAUCCAUCGUGCCUGGGGAGCAAAAAGACCGCUUGGAGCUGCACA